rnacentral:rRNA from 1 species
AAAUUGAAGAGUUUGAUCAUGGCUCAGAUUGAACGCUGGCGGCAGGCCUAACACAUGCAAGUCGAGCGGUAGCACAGAGAGCUUGCUCUCGGGUGACGAGCGGCGGACGGGUGAGUAAUGUCUGGGAAACUGCCUGAUGGAGGGGAUAACUACUGGAAACGGUAGCUAAUACCGCAUAAUGUCGCAAGACCAAAGUGGGGGACCUUCGGGCCUCAUGCCAUCAGAUGUGCCCAGAUGGGAUUAGCUAGUAGGUGGGGUAACGGCUCACCUAGGCGACGAUCCCUAGCUGGUCUGAGAGGAUGACCAGCCACACUGGAACUGAGACACGGUCCAGACUCCUACGGGAGGCAGCAGUGGGGAAUAUUGCACAAUGGGCGCAAGCCUGAUGCAGCCAUGCCGCGUGUGUGAAGAAGGCCUUCGGGUUGUAAAGCACUUUCAGCGGGGAGGAAGGCGGUGAGGUUAAUAACCUCAUCGAUUGACGUUACCCGCAGAAGAAGCACCGGCUAACUCCGUGCCAGCAGCCGCGGUAAUACGGAGGGUGCAAGCGUUAAUCGGAAUUACUGGGCGUAAAGCGCACGCAGGCGGUCUGUCAAGUCGGAUGUGAAAUCCCCGGGCUCAACCUGGGAACUGCAUUCGAAACUGGCAGGCUAGAGUCUUGUAGAGGGGGGUAGAAUUCCAGGUGUAGCGGUGAAAUGCGUAGAGAUCUGGAGGAAUACCGGUGGCGAAGGCGGCCCCCUGGACAAAGACUGACGCUCAGGUGCGAAAGCGUGGGGAGCAAACAGGAUUAGAUACCCUGGUAGUCCACGCCGUAAACGAUGUCGAUUUGGAGGUUGUGCCCUUGAGGCGUGGCUUCCGGAGCUAACGCGUUAAAUCGACCGCCUGGGGAGUACGGCCGCAAGGUUAAAACUCAAAUGAAUUGACGGGGCCCGCACAAGCGGUGGAGCAUGUGGUUUAAUUCGAUGCAACGCGAAGAACCUUACCUGGUCUUGACAUCCACAGAACUUUCCAGAGAUGGAUUGGUGCCUUCGGGAACUGUGAGACAGGUGCUGCAUGGCUGUCGUCAGCUCGUGUUGUGAAAUGUUGGGUUAAGUCCCGCAACGAGCGCAACCCUUAUCCUUUGUUGCCAGCGGUCCGGCCGGGAACUCAAAGGAGACUGCCAGUGAUAAACUGGAGGAAGGUGGGGAUGACGUCAAGUCAUCAUGGCCCUUACGACCAGGGCUACACACGUGCUACAAUGGCAUAUACAAAGAGAAGCGACCUCGCGAGAGCAAGCGGACCUCAUAAAGUAUGUCGUAGUCCGGAUUGGAGUCUGCAACUCGACUCCAUGAAGUCGGAAUCGCUAGUAAUCGUAGAUCAGAAUGCUACGGUGAAUACGUUCCCGGGCCUUGUACACACCGCCCGUCACACCAUGGGAGUGGGUUGCAAAAGAAGUAGGUAGCUUAACCUUCGGGAGGGCGCUUACCACUUUGUGAUUCAUGACUGGGGUGAAGUCGUAACAAGGUAACCGUAGGGGAACCUGCGGUUGGAUCACCUCCUUACCUUAAAGAA